GAAGGAGGGCGAAUCCUUCUUUCGCGCGAAAGAAGGAACCCCGACUCUCCUUCCCAUCCCUCCUCCUUUCCCUCGCUUCGCUUUAUCCCCUUCCUCCGCGUUCCCCUCCACCCUCCGUAUCCAGGUUGGAUCCGGGUCGAUUUAACCAAAUCCGGCAGCGGAUCCGUACUCUAGCCUCUAGGACUGUUAACCUGCCGGAGAUUCGGGUCGGGCUACCCAAACCCGACUUGACCCCUCUUCCUUCUUUCUAAUUGCUCUCUGCUCUCCUUUGCCUUCCAGUUUUAUCGCUGAAGCAUCUCUGCGGGCUCUGCUUUGCGGAAACCCACGGUUUUCUUUUCAAUCUUCCUCUUUCCCAAAGAGGUGCUUCUUUGGAUGUUUGGAAAAGAAGGAUGGUAGAAUCUUUAAGAGUCAAGGAUUUGCUUUUCCAGCUGAGGAUUCAAACCAAAGAUUCUGAGCCCUCUUAAUGCUAUAAAAUUCAGAAAGAUGAAUUAUAACUUCUGUAAUUUAGGUAUUUAGAAGUACUUUUCACUUGAAACCUUAUAUAUCCUUCCAUCCUAGGCCCUAACUCCACCUAAUUAGCUCCUUUUUUAAAAUUCAUAGAAUCCAAAUUUUUCACUCUCUCUGCUUCCCAUUUAAUUAUGAUGGAUUUGGAUAGCAAACAUGUUUCUGUGGGCUCCAAUAUCAUGAUGCAUUUUUGGAUUUAUCACGUCGCUUAUGUAACAAUAGAAUCGCAAUUACAUAAAAUAUCUCUGCGAUGUUGUCAUCUCAAGGUCGUGGCCAGACUUUAGUGCGAUGUAAUGUUGUUAUGAAAGUUAUAUAUUGUUUUCACUAGAUAGGACCAUAGCAUCUUUUGAAAAGUAUCCGUCAUGUUGCUUAUGCCAAAAUUUCUGUUCUCAUUGGGAAAGAGGUCACUUCAAAGUCUAUGAAAGAUGCUUCACAGCUUAAGAAAGCAGAGGUAGGGAAAACAUCCACUUUUCUUAUUGAAUCUUUCCUUUUGCAAGAAGUAAGGUAAAGGCUAUGAUCUCUGUUCAAGCAACUCUUGGCAAAAGUAUCCAAUGAAGUUGGUGAAGACCAAUGAAUAGUUACAUAUGCUUGUUGUACACUUGUACUUUGAGUUUGGUCUUGUACUUGGCGUGAGCUACCUCACUUGUCAGCUAUCUUAUAAAUUUUACCAAAUAUGAGUUCAAAAGACAGGUAUAAGAUCUUCAAAAAUACCUUUAUUUACAAAUGCUACAUCCUUUUUAGUUCCAACUCAGUUGAAUCUUAAGGAAGGAGGUUUCUUUCUGUGUGUGAGAAACCAAGCAAUCUUAUGGGGACUACGGAGGACCUUUUUGGAAGGUUAUGAGAGCCCUGUACCAAGAGAAACUCUCCCUAAAUUUCAGCAAUACUCUACAUGUCCAUAUGCCGAUUGUGUUGUCUUAUCUGUGAUAUAAAUAUGUUUCUUGGCCUAUACACAUUCAUGAAUGCUGGUUUCUUCUAGAAUUUUAUAUAUUCAUUGAAACAUUUGUUCAUUGAAAAACUUGGUCCAUUUACUUUGAAAAAGGAACCAGCCAUGGUUUUUAAAUAUGCAAGUCAUAGAUGAUCUUGAAAUGUCUUUCAGCAACCACACUAUGCAAGGUUGUAUGAAGCAGCAUGAAUCCCCAUCUCAGAAUUCGAGCUAUUUUUACAUCUAGAUGGACAUGUAAAAGACAAAACUUUCAGGGUGAAGCCUGGAACAUUCAUUUGGGUGCUUUCUGAUUGUGGCACUAAGUAUGAUUCUUUUCUACCUGAAACAGAGGGUGCCUAAUCGCUCUACAAGAUGCUUGCCAGCUGGAAUGGAAAUUGAUGGCCAAUUUGCUACUUUCAGAAUGGAUGAACUUACCUUUUUCUGGGUGCCCUGGAGUUGCUAGAAUUCGAACUGAGGUUCUUGGUGUUAGUUAAUGGAAGCCAAUCGGUAUCCUCAGUCCAAGUUUUGGUAAAGGAUAGGGAGAUCCACUCACUGCUUAUUAAUCAUUCAGUUCUCAUCAGCUGUUUGCUAGACAGAAAUGUUAUUGGUAGCGUAUCAAUUGUCAUAUGAUGGAAUUUGGGAGAACAAGGCCCAAGCGCAGCCUGUUUAGAAGCUUCAUUGAUUUUUGAAGUUCAAGAAACUUGACAUCACUGCCUUAUUGUCCAACACACAUAAUGUUCUCCACAUUCAGGUCAAAACAGGUAACCAUCAACCAUGAUUCUGAUUUACAUUUUUCUUGCUUCUCCAUCAAGCAUCAUGAUCUUAUCGGUACUAAGGUGACUUGAAAUAAUGAAAUUUCCUCACCCUGCACUCUUUUCUCUUCUUUUUUUUUGAAAGAAAAUGGAGGAAGCGAACUGCUUCCCCUAACUUUAAUGAACAGAAAGUAUUUACAGCUGAAAAAUUACAGAGGAGGAGGAAAGAAGCACAGAGUUACAGAUAUAUGUUUGGACUGACAAUUAAAGGGCAACUACAUCUUUGUGCUGUCCACAGAUAUGCUUUGUCUAUUAUCUUCAUUUUCGCUUGUUCAUACUUCAAGUUCUCAAGUUCUCAUUCAAAUUUAAUCGAUCUUAUACCUAUGUUUAUCU